rnacentral:lncRNA from 1 species
CCCAGCAUAUGGAGAUAAAGCCCGUGUUCAAAUAAAGAAGAAAUAGUAAGAUGUGAUUCUUAUCCACGAGAAGUCUCAAGCAAAACCUCUCCAUUCGUUGAGCUCACUAGAAAUCUUCCAGGUGUCCCAAGAGGCUGUCCGCCGAUGCAGACGUUGAAGACAAGACUGAACUGUGUGGGUCAUUAAUGAGUGAAUGUGCAGGAACGCAGAGAGUCGUGGAGAAGCAUCUCCCAGUACUGUGCAACUACAAGUAGAACGCUUUCAAGUUCACUACCUACACAUUUAUUGCAUUGAAGCUGGAGAUUACCUGAAAAUCGUCUUGUCAGGUUCAUCUUUCCAUCAGAUACACAGAAGAUAGGGAGGGCCAGGGAGGAAGCCCCUGCUGUCUUCAUGCAUAAGGAAAGACUGCGGCAAAGAAAGGUACACUCUUGUCCUUCCUUGUUUCAUGCAUCAAGAGAAAUGGAAGAAGAGGAGUCCAACAGUGGUUGUUCCUAAGAUAAUUCUAUUCAAGAGAAUUUUGUUUCACUUAAAAUGAGAAUAUGAAAGGAGUUAACUUUUCAAAAGGUGAAUGAUGUUUAAGCAGCAACAAGAAAUGGCUCAGUAUUUGUGUUCUAUUUGAAAUCCAUGUUAUUUGAAGACACUAAGUUUGUUGGAAUUUGUUAGAGAAGCAAUAGGCAAUUGAAGCAAUAGACAGUGCAGCAAAUGAGAGCAGUAAAAAGAUCAUUCUUGACAUUCAUCUUCUCUACUGUACAUCCUAUACCUGAAAAAUCUUUAGGUACAUUGCAUACCUAAAAACAUAUUCUGUGACAAUGCAGAUAUUUUCAUAAGUAGCAAACCAAGAUAAGAUAGCACAC